UCAAUGGUGAAGUGGAGCCAGACUGGGGAGGGCUGCCGCAGGAUGAACCGCACCACCGUCACCUGGUCCACAUCGCACAGCAUCUGAAGGGCAUCUGGAGGUGUGCAGCCCAGAGCCAGGGGCUGGCAAGACCAUUUUGGCACUGCUCUCAAGGAGUCAUCAGGGCAAAAAGACAGCCCCACGCUAUGGAGGAAACACCCUACUGUCACCAAAACACCUCGCAGGGAGGGGUUUUGCUUAAGAGAAGACCACCCCAACUCUGGCACUCACCAGGCAGUGGAGGAGCUGUCUGGGCAUGGGGCCUGGCUCACCCUCCCAUGAGCCCCCCCGCACAGUACUGCACCCUGAGGUGCAGGCAGCUGCCCCCACGCUCAGCCAAAGUUACCCCCAGCCAGUCUGACUCAACUGAUGACUAUUUUAUGAUGCAUGAGAAAAAUAGGAUUUCUUUGAUUAAAAAAAAAAAACCACUAACAAAAGAAUCAAGCCCCGAACCAAGAAGCUGAUCCCCCCGCAAGGAGGACGAGGCUGGCUGUCCUCAAGAGCCACCACUAACCAUCCCUGAAUCGCCUUUGGAGCUUGCCUGCAGCACAGCACUGCUCUCCUGCUCCCCAAAACUACACAUCCCAGUUUAGGUAAACAGCAGAAUAAAUGUGAAAACUUAAAACAUCGA